UACAGAGGUCCCAAGCGUUGUUCGGAUUCACUGGGCGUAAAGGGUGCGUAGGCGGUCGGGUAAGUCUGAUGUGAAAUCUCACAGCUUAACUGUGAAACUGCAUUGGAUACUAUCCGGCUAGAGGAAUGGAGGGGAGGACUGAAUACUUGGUGUAGCAGGUGAAAUGCGUAGAUAUCAAGUGGAACACCAGUGGCGAAGGCGAGUCUCUGGACAUUUCCUGACGCUGAGGCACGAAGCCAGGGGAGCAAACGGG
rnacentral:rRNA from 1 species